AAACAAAUUACAACUAUAAAACAAAAGGAAGGUUGGCAUAAAAGUUAACAGUCUAGCAGAUAAAUGCACCACCAGAAGUUCAGAAGCUCAGUUCAUUUGACCUGACUGUUACGCUUUCAUGCUGUAUUGUCCGAUGGAGCACCAUAACCUUCGCCUUCAGUUCUCCUAGGCUCCUGAACAACAUAGCAAAUGUCUGAUAGUCUGGUUUCAAAACCAUGCAUAUCUGGACAACAUCGAACAAUGUCUCUCCUUGUUUCACAAAGGGUCUCUGUUAGGGAAUGGACUUGUGUCUGGAGCGCAGAUACAACAUUGUUUUGAGCUUGCAUAUCUUGAUCAUGAGGCAGUUUGGACGAGAUUGCCUUAACAACCAACCCAGUAUUAUGCAGGAAUGUGCUUUUGGCACUGUUAGUGGACAGGUACUGACCCACUAGAGCAGGAGCUGACAUUGCGGUUAUAGUUGCCUCGCCACCUUCAGAAGGUGGCGGUUCCACCAUUUUUUCCAUAGCUCGCUGAAAAGUUGUGGUUUUACAUUAGUAGUACUAGAACAGAAGAUAUUAAGGAGGCAGCAAAACCAAACAAAAUAGCUUUGGUCUAUAUACAGAACUUAUUCUGGUGAACCCAUGUAAAAUAAUAGUUGUAUUUUAUUGCAAAGUACAUAAUAAAACCAGGUUCCAAACAUAUGACCAUGUACCAUCGCUACUGUAUUGUCUAUUUCUUCACAUUAUAUUGAGGGCUAAGGAUAAAGAGACGAAGUUUAUAAUAUGGUAAGCAUAGUAUGACAUCAUUCGUAUCACAAAACAACUGAGAAUAGACAAACAGGCAAUUGUAACGUUGUGUGGGCAAGUCCAGCACGGAACUAGAUUACAGGUCAAGAUCAAAGGAACAUCACUCCUCUUUUAAACCUUGUAAGGUGCAAUGAUACGCUAAGAAAAUUUUGUAUAAAAUUGAAAAGAGUAAUAGACAUUGGCUGCAAACCAUGCAGUUCAAGGCACAAGUCAGAGUAAGUAGUAGUUAAAAGGCAUGAGGAUUAAGGACUUACAACAGCGGCUUUGACUGGUGUAGUCAUGCCCUUCUUCUUGCUG
rnacentral:lncRNA from 1 species